UACGUACUCCCUCCGUCCGAAAUACUUGUCAUUAAAAUAGAUAAAAAGAGAUGUAUGUAGAACUAAAAUACAUCUAGAUACAUCCUCUUUUAUCCAUUUUGAUGACAAGUAUUUCCGGACGGAGGGAGUACAAA
rnacentral:pre_miRNA from 1 species